GUUGGUGAUGGUGACAACAUGGAGAGUGACGAGGAUGUGACUGCACUAUCUUCUGGCACGCAGAUGCCCAGGACAUGAGCAUGCAGGGGCCAGAAGGCCUCACCUUAAACUGAGCUGGGUAGAAGAAGCACUGAGAACGGCCAUCUGGGACAGGCACUACUGCUUUUCAUUGAAAGAAGAAUAUUAUUUCAAUGCCUUUGAGCACAAAGGUCAGGGAAAUUACACACACACGUGCUUUAAAUCCUGUUGCCAGCAACAGAAGUCCAGGAAGGCAAAGUGAUCUAAGGAAAGGGAAGACUGUGAGAUGGAAUAAGUGGGAGCUCAAUUCUGGACUCAGCUCUCAUUGCUCUUGGCUGAUUUGGACAAGUGCUCGGCGAUAUCUAACAUGAGGACACCCAACCAAAGACCGCAUGGCGUGUUGAAAUCCAACCCGUCCACCACUCACCGGAGUAUAGUUCUUGCCUUUCCAGAGAAAGAAAUUGAUAUCUUAACCCUAUAUAGCUAGUGGUAACCUUAAAAUAGGUUUCAUUUUAAUAUUUUGGUUAUUUUCGCCUGACACAUGAUUUAUUUUCAAAUUUGACCAGGGAUGAUCAGUUUGUUAACAAAGUGGAGC
rnacentral:lncRNA from 1 species